GACGAACGCUGGCGGCGUGCCUAAUACAUGCAAGUCGAGCGGACUUUCAAGAAGCUUGCUUUUUGAAAGUUAGCGGCGGACGGGUGAGUAACACGUGGGCAACCUGCCUGUAAGACGGGGAUAACUCCGGGAAACCGGGGCUAAUACCGGAUAAUAUCUUUCUUCGCAUGAAGGAAGGUUGAAAGGCGGCGCAAGCUGCCGCUUGCAGAUGGGCCCGCGGCGCAUUAGCUAGUUGGUGAGGUAACGGCUCACCAAGGCGACGAUGCGUAGCCGACCUGAGAGGGUGAUCGGCCACAGUGGGACUGGAACACGGCCCAGACUCCUACGGGAGGCAGCAGUAGGGUAUCUUCCGCAAUGGACGAAAGUCUGACGGAGCAACGCCGCGUGAGCGAAGAAGGUCUUCGGAUCGUAAAGCUCUGUUGUCAGGGAAGAACAAGUACCGUUCGAAUAGGGCGGUACCUUGACGGUACCUGACCAGAAAGCCACGGCUAACUACGUGCCAGCCGCCGCAGUAA
rnacentral:rRNA from 1 species